rnacentral:rRNA from 1 species
UGGGGAAUUUUGGACAAUGGGGGAAACCCUGAUCCAGCCAUCCCGCGUGUGCGAUGAAGGCCUUCGGGUUGUAAAGCACUUUUGUCAGGAAAGAAACGUCAUUGGUUAAUACCCCGUGAAACUGACGGUACCUGCAGAAUAAGCACCGGCUAACUACGUGCCAGCAGCCGCGGUAAUACGUAGGGUGCAAGCGUUAAUCGGAAUUACUGGGCGUAAAGCGUGCGCAGGCGGUUCGGAAAGAAAGAUGUGAAAUCCCAGGGCUCAACUUUGGAACUGCAUUUUUAACUACCGGGCUAGAGUGUGUCAGAGGGAGGUGGAAUUCCGCGUGUAGCAGUGAAAUGCGUAGAUAUGCGGAGGAACACCGAUGGCGAAGGCAGCCUCCUGGGAUAACACUGACGAUCAUGCACGAAAGCGUGGGGAGCAAACAGG